GGUGAGGGUCACUCGGAGCAAGCUAGUCCCAAGCAGCUAAAAUUAGCCCUGGGAACUGGAACGCUGGGGUCUCCGAGGAGCAGCAGUUGUGUAAGGAAAGUGCAAGCUGGGAGAAAAAAUGCCUACACCCCAUGCCCACUGCAAACCCCACUGUCCGGGCUCCGCCCCGAGUGCCCGCUGACCACCCAGCCCCUCCAGCACAGCCCUCGCGGUGGUCGGCGGGUGAGGAUCUGCUUGGCAUGCCGGCAUUCCCUCCCCGGUAACCCAGAACAAUGUGGCCCGGGCUCCGGAUAGGACCGAGGUGAACUGGAAGCAGGAAGGCACAGGACCAGUUUGGGUCUGGGGCGGUGAGGAUGCUGAGCAAAUGACAGGCCUGGGGGGCGGGGUGACGUGGGGAAGGGCAGGACAGACCUCGAGAGCCGGCUCAGGCCGGGCCUGCGAGGGUGCCACCUGGGACGGUCCUGGUGGGGCACCGUGCACCCCUUGGCUCCAUGCGGAUGGGGCUGCCAAAACUGGCACGAUGGGGCACUACGUUUGGUCCCCAAGCUGGGGCGGGGUCCUGCGUCUCCAGGGUGUCUGCGUCCUGUUCCUGGCCUGUGAGAGGGCUUGGCUCUCAGGGAUUCCUGGUGACAAGCGAGGACAGCUGCACCUCCUGGCGUGGAGGCUGGGGGCAGUGUGCAGAGCCCCGGGGAGGCCUGGGGCGUCGGGAGCCUCCGGAGAACCACGGAGGGGUCAGGUGGAAAAGGGGGCCCAACCAGGCAGCUUCUGCACUCUCCUGCCCCUAGUUCGGUGCCUGAGGCCUUUCUGGGUCUGCUGGCCCAUGCUUAGGAAGUCCCCUGACCCCGACCACUGACUCCCACCUCUGUCUCACUGAGGACCAAGCGUCUUGUUGCUUCCCCCCAGCCCCGAGGCCCAGGUAAGACUUCUGGGUCAGCUUUGUUCCUCCUGUGCAGAAGUAGAAAGGCAAACCAAAAAGCAACCAAGGAAAACCUCCACCCUUUGUGUCCUCCUGUGGGGUUCAGCCCGGCUGCGUGGCAGGGGUAACAACCUACAGCCCAGUGACCACACGGAAUGAAACGCCAGCGGGAGGACGCACCAUGUGUGCGGUGCUGGACACCCACACUGUGUGCUCGGAUCUGAAAGGAGCCCACCGCUCAGGGCUGGAGUCACAGCCCCAGCAGCAGCACAGGAAGGCAGGGCUUUGGGAGGGACCAGGGCGAGGGCUCUGCUCUGGCGUCAUGUGUGCACUAAUCCACAUGGGGAUUCUUAGUUGAAGUGUUGGGGGAGGCGGUAGAGACUUCAGGAGAAGGGACCGCUAGGUAACCAGGCAAGACUAGGUGACCGCGCAACCACGGAAGAGGUGGGGACCAACCUAUGCAGACGUAUGUGGUCCUUGUCCACUUCUCUCCCUCUCUCCUCCCUGACCACACAAGGUGAGCAGCUCAGCUCCUCCACACCUGUCCACACGCUGCGCUCGCCACAGCCCAGAGCCGGCAGCCAACCAAGCACAGCAAGCCCCGGCGUCCCAAGCCGCCCUUCCCCACGUUUCCCACGGCCUUGGGGAGCAAUCUGCUCUCUCCUCGCCCUCGUGGAGCUCUCCUUGCCCCCACGUCGAAGCCCAGCACGGGCUGGAGCCUGUGAUCACAGAAGGGUCCUGGGCUGCAGUCACCGGCACCCGCCCAUCCCUGCGGUGUGUUGGGGUGUCACACACCAGCUCUGGUGCUGCGCCCCGGCCUCCCCACGCCCCCUCUCCCCCUGCUCUGUGCUUGAUUCCCCAGCAGCGUCUUUGUUUGAGCUCCACACUCCUGGUAUUCUCUAGUUCUCUUUCACACCCUCUGCCACCCUCUCGUGUACCCACUCGCUACUUUCCUGGAAUUUCUCCCUCAGAGGAUAGCUGGUGACCGUCUCUCUCUCUCUCUCUCUCUCUCUCUCUCUCUCUCUCUCUCUCACACACACACACACACACACACACACACACACACACACACGCAUGCACCUUUAAACCACUUCCCCAGAAAGGUGGCCGUGGGCUACUCGAGCCUCUCAGUGUGAACGGCACCCUCCUCCCACCGUCUGAGCGCUGGCCCAGUCUCCCUGCUCUGCAGAUGAGUAACACGGUGUCGCCUCCCUUCCAGCCUUUGUAAGUAGAUUGGAAUCUCUCUUUCUCUGAAAUUUUUAUGGUUUUUUUCCUUUAGAUGAGGACUCGGAAUCAUUAGCGUAUCUUGUCUCUGGAUUUCUGUCUCCAGGCCUCGGGAACCCCGUGCCCGGGUGACUCAGGUCUUUCUGAAACACUUUCUUCUCCUGCGUCUUCUCUUCCGAUUCCUCUUUUUUCUCCUUUCAAAACUCCCGUCACCGGCACACAGCUCCGCACGGCACCGCGGAACUCCUGGCGACUCCUUCACGCCCUCUAUCUCCUGCCCUCCAUUUCCUCCUCUUUCCUGUUGGGCCAAGUGCUCCCAGAUAACCAGCUCGGGCUUCCUGCUGGGAAACUCAGCGGUCUUUUCCUGCUCUGGGCCUCCCUGGAUGAUUUGAUACUUUUUUCUUGAACUCUUUCAUUUCUAGGCUCCAACAACAGUACACUUCUGUGUUUUCAGCUCCUUCUUUUUCCCCUUCUCUGAUUGGUCCUUUCUCUCAAUCCCUGAAAUGAAGGCUCCUCACAGGUUUUGUCCACCUUUCCUUUACUCUGAACUCACCAGCUUUCUUGGUGAGUUUCUUAACUGUCACCUUUUCUGAUGACCCACCGUUAUUCUGAGCUCCAGACUGCACAUAUUUACGGAAGGACCACCCUGGCCGUGUGGGUGUGUACCCACCGGCUCCCACGUCAAAACUGACUUGCUGUUCUACUACAAACGUCACUGUUUUCUGUGUCCCCCCGCCCCAGCCUGGCUGCACAGGUGACAGAAACACACACCACAUCUGAACGUGGCCGGGGAACGUGACUUCUCCCCACGGUGCUGGGGACCACCCUGCCAGCCCCGUGGCUCCCAAGCCCUCCCGAGCCUGCUCGCCCUCCCCUCUUCCAGGCCGCGAUGGACACCGAUUCCCUUCUCAGGGUCCCUGCGCUGCACUGUUCUGUGCUCACCUCCUCCUCCGCACGGCGGCGGAAUAAGGUCGCCACCCUGCCUAGGUGCCGUGAGGGCUGAGUGAGUUCAUCUUUGCAUGGAAUAAAGAAUCGUGCGUGGCCCACGAUCAGUGCUCAGUCAAAUGUUAGUUAUUACUUCAUGGACCCAGGCUGGUCCCCUGAAGUCCACCAAGUAGGUGAAGAAGCUCUGAAAGCUGAGUAUGGCACGGAAGUUUUCACCCACAGAUUUAGUGUCAGAAGAGACGUCAGAAGCAGCCCCCAACCUCAGGGAAGGAGAUUUGCUGAUACCAAGAACUCUGCCACCAAGUGAGUGCAGUGAUGGGCACCGGAGGCCCGUGUGGACGGCACCACUGCCCUGGUCCAUUUCCCAAAAAGCCGCCCCUCCUCCCGCCAGGGAAUUCAGCACUGCGUUCUGCUAGGGCUUUCCCUGCUGCGGAAGCAGGCAGGAAACUGCAUUUCCACAAUGAAGCUUAGAGCCGGGUGGGGGCACAUUUCUCCAGGCGACACCCUGUGGCCCAGUUUACACCAGCAGUUAACCAGCCAUGCAGUGCUCGAGAUGCCACCCAAGUCACGCAGCGGGAGACGUGAAAUAGCCACGAAGAGCCUCAGUGCCUGCAGUGACAGAGGCUGUGUGUGCCCCUCCGAGGACAAAUGCUCCCAUCCUCCCGGGGCCUGGCGGGGUGACAGCUUGGUGAGCAGCACCUCGGGAUGGGACCAUUAUGGCCAGACACAGCCGAGCCGCCCUGCCACCUGAAGUCUCAAGAGGAGUCACCUUCUCCACGUCCACUCCAUCACAGGGGUGCAAAAGACAGUCGCUGGCCAGGGUCCAGCCAGGGGCUCCGGGCAAGGGCACCUGUGCUGUGGGCCACGCUGUGGAACUUCUGUCCUGUCAUGACUCAGGGAGGGACGGGCGACGUCCACUGGCGCUGUGACCCUUGCGACCAGUACUUAACCAUGGCUCCUCCCAAGAGAGCGUGUGGAAAAGAAGCAGAGAGCGGGGCCUCGCCUUAAAGAUGCUCUUGGAUAUGCUUUCAUUAAAAUAAAAACACCCCAUACAGAAACCGCA